rnacentral:rRNA from 1 species
UGAGGAAUAUUGGUCAAUGGGCGAGAGCCUGAACCAGCCAAGUAGCGUGCAGGAUGACGGCCCUAUGGGUUGUAAACUGCUUUUAUAUGGGAAUAAAGUGAGGGACGUGUUCCUUAUUGCAUGUACCAUAUGAAUAAGGACCGGCUAAUUCCGUGCCAGCAGCCGCGGUAAUACGGAAGGUCCAGGCGUUAUCCGGAUUUAUUGGGUUUAAAGGGAGCGUAGGCUGGAGAUUAAGUGUGUUGUGAAAUGUAGACGCUCAACGUCUGAAUUGCAGCGCAUACUGGUUUCCUUGAGUACGCACAACGUUGGCGGAAUUCGUCGUGUAGCGGUGAAAUGCUUAGAUAUGACGAAGAACUCCGAUUGCGAAUGCAGCUGACGGGAGCGCAACUGACGCUUAAGCUCGAAGGUGCGGGUAUCAAACAGG